CUAAUACCGCAUAACAGUAGAUGUUGCAUGACAUUUGCUUAAAAGGUGCAAUUGCACCACUACCAGAUGGACCUGCGUUGUAUUANCUAGUUGGUGGGGUAACGGCUCACCAAGGCGACGAUACAUAGCCGACCUGAGAGGGUGAUCGGCCACACUGGGACUGAGACACGGCCCAGACUCCUACGGGAGGCAGCAGUAGGGAAUCUUCGGCAAUGGACGGAAGUCUGACCGAGCAACGCCGCGUGAGUGAAGAAGGUUUUCGGAUCGUAAAGCUCUGUUGUAAGAGAAGAACGAGUGUGAGAGUGGAAAGUUCACACUGUGACGGUAUCUUACCAGAAAGGGACGGCUAACUACGUGCCAGCAGCCGCGGUAAUACGUAGGUCCCGAGCGUUGUCCGGAUUUAUUGGGCGUAAAGCGAGCGCAGGCGGUUAGAUAAGUCUGAAGUUAAAGGCUGUGGCUUAACCAUAGUGCGCUUUGGAAACUGUUUAACUUGAGUGCAAGAGGGGAGAGUGGAAUUCCAUGUGUAGCG
rnacentral:rRNA from 1 species